GAUGAAGAACGUAGCGAAAUGCGAUAAGUAAUGUGAAUUGCAGAAUUCAGUGAAUCAUCGAAUCUUUGAACGCACAUUGCGCCCGCCAGUAUUCUGGCGGGCAUGCCUGUCUGAGCGUCAUUUCAACCAUCAAGCCCCGGGCUUGUGUUGGGGACCUGCGUCCGACGCAGGCCCUGAAAACCAGUGGCGGGCUCGCUGUCCACACCGAGCGUAGUAACUAACCUCGCUAUGGAGUGGCGCGGGCGCCUGCCGUAAAACCCCCAAUUUCACAAGGUUGACCUCGGAUCAGGUAGGAAUACCCGCUGAACUUAAGCAUAUCAAUAAGCGGAGGA
rnacentral:misc_RNA from 1 species